GGCGGCGGCGGCGGCGGCUACGGAGGCACCACUGCGGCUGCGCGGCUUCGCGAGCCCCACCUAGCCCCGCCCCUCCCUCGAGCCCUGAGCUGGGAGCUAUUGAAGCCUCCUCUUUCCGGUCAUGGAUGUUGCCCUAGAUGAUCACAGUUUUGCCUGAUUCAGAAACACAUGCUGCCUAAGAGAGUUGGGGAUUGAUGGAAAGCAACAGGAGUUGAAGAAGAUGAGCUCUUCUGGGAUAGAGACCACCUCUCCUACUUCUCAUCACAGUUUAAUGGAAAGUUGUGGACUUUGAAAUCUGGAAAACUUUGUUAGAAUCCUGGCUCCUACUCCAUCCAUGUGACCAUGGGCAAGAUAUUUAACCACUCUGAGGUAUUUCAGAUCAAUUCCACUGUUAAAUGCUUCUGUCUGAAAUGAAUCCCUCAAGUCAACAUUACAAGUGUAUUUGGACUAGACAAGGUCUCCUUUGGUUUAUCAUUACAUAAUUUUAACUAGAUGAUGAGAACAACAGAAGCUGUUUACUUUUAAAAGAACAUGAAGGUCAUUUCUAUAUUGAGCUAAUUGAAUGGGGUAUGCUGGACCCAUUGUUAGGAGGAACAUCAAGAAAUUUCAAAUAGUUUAAUGGUAAAAGUCUCAGAACACUGCAUUAAAAAAUAUCUGUCAAAUAACAAGCUACUUUUAGCUACCCUUUGGGAGAGAAUGAGGAGGAAAUUAAGGAGUAAAAGAAGGUUUUAAGAGAUCCAAUGACUUCAUUUAGGAUUUUUUUAAAGUGAUGUGAUUGAUGGAAUAAAAUGAAUGUUCACAGAUUUGUAGAGGACACUAAGGUGAGAAAAGUGAUUAGAACUUCAUGGGGAGGUAGAAAAUUCAAAAUUAUCUUUACAAAUUUUAAAAAAAUCAUGGAAAAAAGAUAAAUUCAAUAGGUGCAAUACUUGUUGAUCUAUAUGGGGGGAAAUGAAUUGCUCAAAAAUGAAAUGGAGACUAACUGUUGAGAUAUAAGAAUGAAUCAUAUUGGAGAACAAAUUUGACAUGAGCCCGACAAAUGAAACUAUUAGAAAAGAAAAUGCAUGAUCCUGGAAUGCAUUAACAGGUAUGUUAGUGUGAAGCAGUUUUCGUGCUAUAUUCAGUAUUUGUAACUGGCAUGGUGUAAAGAGCACAGGAUUUGCGAUCUAACUUCAAAUCCUAGUUCUCUUAUUAUUAGCUAUAUGUGACCUUGAACUCAGUGACUUAAUUUCUCUGGAUCUCAGCUUCUUCAUAUGUCAAAUAAGAGAUUGACUUGUAGGUCUAAGUCCUAUAAACCUAUGAUUUCAUUAAUACAACAACAAAAAAAGCUG